rnacentral:tRNA from 1 species
AAGUUUAGGUUAACUCAAACCAAGAGCCUUCAAAGCCCUAAAUAGGGGCCUAACCCCCUAACUCCUG